rnacentral:rRNA from 1 species
GGGGAAUAUUGCACAAUGGGGGAAACCCUGAUGCAGCGACGCCGCGUGGAGGAAGAAGGUCUUCGGAUUGUAAACUCCUGUUGUUGAGGAAGAUAAUGACGGUACUCAACAAGGAAGUGACGGCUAACUACGUGCCAGCAGCCGCGGUAAAACGUAGGUCACAAGCGUUGUCCGGAAUUACUGGGUGUAAAGGGAGCGCAGGCGGGAAGACAAGUUGGAAGUGAAAUCCAUGGGCUCAACCCAUGAACUGCUUUCAAAACUGUUUUUCUUGAGUAGUGCAGAGGUAGGCGGAAUUCCCGGUGUAGCGGUGGAAUGCGUAGAUAUCGGGAGGAACACCAGUGGCGAAGGCGGCCUACUGGGCACCAACUGACGCUGAGGCUCGAAAGUGUGGGUAGCAAACAGGAUUAGAUACCCUGGUAGUCCACACCGUAAACGAUGAUUACUAGGUGUUGGAGGAUUGACCCCUUCAGUGCCGCAGUUAACACAAUAAGUAAUCCACCUGGGGAGUACGACCGCAAGGUUGAAACUCAAAGGAAUUGACGGGGGCCCGCACAAGCAGUGGAGUAUGUGGUUUAAUUCGACGCAACGCGAAGAACCUUACCAAGUCUUGACAUCCGUUGACCGACAUAGAAAUAUGUUUUUCCUUCGGGACAGCGAGACAGGUGGUGCAUGGUUGUCGUCAGCUCGUGUCGUGAGAUGUUGGGUUAAGUCCCGCAACGAGCGCAACCCUUAUGGUCAGUUACUACGCAAGAGGACUCUGGCCAGACUGCCGUUGACAAAACGGAGGAAGGUGGGGAUGACGUCAAAUCAUCAUGCCCUUUAUGACUUGGGCUACACACGUACUACAAUGGCGUUAAACAAAGAGAAGCAAGACCGCGAGGUGGAGCAAAACUCAGAAACAACGUCCCAGUUCGGACUGCAGGCUGCAACUCGCCUGCACGAAGUCGGAAUUGCUAGUAAUCGUGGAUCAGCAUGCCACGGUGAAUACGUUCCCG